GAUGAACGCUGGCGGCGUGCCUAAUACAUGCAAGUCGAGCGAACGGACGAGAAGCUUGCGUCUCUGAUGUUAGCGGCGGACGGGUGAGUAACACGUGGAUAACCUACCUAUAAGACUGGGAUAACUUCGGGAAACCGUAUCUAAUACCGGAUAAUAUUUUGAACCGCAUGGUUCAAAAGUGAAAGACGGUCUUUCUGUCGCUUAUAGAUGGAUCCGCGCUGCAUUAGCUAGUGGGUAAGGUAGCGGCUUACCAAGGCAACGAUGCAUAGCCGACCUGAGCGGGUCGUCGGACACACGGGCAGUGAGACAGGGUCCAGACUCCUACGGGAGGCAGCAGUAGGGAAUCCUCCGCAAUGGGGGAGAGCCUGACAGAGGAAAGCGGCGUGAGUGAUGAAGGUCUUAGGAUGGGAAAACUCUGUUAUUCGGGGAGAACAUAUGUGUAAGUACCUGUGCACAUAUUGACGGUACCUGGUCAGAAAGCCCCGGCUAACUCCGUG
rnacentral:rRNA from 1 species